rnacentral:rRNA from 1 species
AUGAGUUAUGUGUGGAGGAGUAUACUCAAAGGGAUUGAACUCUUGAAGGAAGGAGUGGUUUGGAGGAUUGGUGACGGUACUGAUGUUUGGAUUUGGGAUGACCCAUGGAUCCCGAGGGGGGUCACACGCCGGCCAUCAACCCCUAGAGGCCAGUGCCUCCUCACUAGGGUCUGUGAGCUCAUCGACCCGGACGCGAGCGACUGGGAUCGGGACCUCGUUUAGGGAUGCUUUCAUGUAGAUGAUGUGCCCUUCAUUCUGAGUAUUCCUAUUGCAGAACAGUCUGACGAUUUUCUGGCUUGGCAUUAUGAUAGCAAAGGUCGCUUCUCUAUCAAAUCGGCUUACAAAGUGCAUGUGGCUGUACUGAAGCGGGAGGCUUCCAUGCAGAGAAGGGGUGUCGACCUCGACACGCGUUGUGCAGUCUGCGGCCGCCUCUUUGAGGAUGGAGGGCAUCUAUUCCUGAACUGCAAAUGGGUUAAGCAACGGUGGCGAGCUCUUCAGUUGGAAGAAGUCAGAUUAAAGCUCACCCAUAUGCAGAAUGCGAGAGAAGUGAUUAAUGCGGUACUACGACUUCCCAAUGAGCAAAGGAUGAUGACCAUUGCACUUUUGUGGGCAUGGUGGUCAGAGAGGAACAAAGGAAACCACAGAGAGUGACGCUCAACAGUUGAUGAAUUUCAAUAUCUGGUUCGGUUCCAUGUAGACGAAUGGCGCAUGUACCUUGAUCCUGCUCCCCCAAACCGAGUGGCCUCCGUCCGAGAAUGGCAACCACCACCCCCAGAUCUAGUCAAGAUCAACAUUGAUGGUGCGUACAAUGCUGAAACUGGUGAGGGAGGGUGGGGAAUAAUUUGUCGUGACUCAAACAGUGAGAUUCUCUUUGCCGCUGCGGGUUCUUCAGGCUACCUCUCAGGUGCAUUGCAUGCUGAGACUAUGGCCCUGGUGCAUGCCGUCAACACUGCUGACCAACUGGGGGUGGGGAAAGUUCAGUUUGAAACGGACUGUUGUGUACUCCAGCAUGCUGUAAGCUCGAGGGAAUGUGAUCUGGCGCCGUUGGGACAAGUGUUCAGAGAUCUGAAGGCCAAGCUUCUUACUCAAUUCAUCCAAGCUAGUGUGGUGCAUACACCACGUGAAUGUAACAAACCAGCGCAUGUGCUGGCUUCGUUCGGUUCGGGUCUACCUACUAGGACUAGGGACCAGUGGUUUGAUAACUAUCCUGAAUUUGUAACCCGUGUUGUAACCGGCGAUCUCGCCGUGCUAUAA